UAACCAACAUAUCACCUCGGAAGGAGGGAGGAGGCGCACGCAUACGCCCUCCCUACAAGGCAAAGGACCCCAUCAGGCCCCCGCCCCCUGCACCCCCACCCUGCUGGCAGGGCGGACUCGAUCUCUCUCUCGCUAUUUGCUUGGUUUUCCUCCCGUCCUGCAGUGUGCAGAUGCCCUUGCCGUCGUCACUGCUGAGAUUGUCGCCCAUUCGCCGCGCCGCCGUCGCCGUGAUGACGCGGGCGUUGCGGGCCACCUCCACCAGCAUGUCCUCCAGGACACGCGUCACGAUGGCCAGCGCCGCGGGUGACAACGGCACGAACGUCCUGCGGCCUCCAUACCCGACUGAGGGCGGCAGUGUUCCCGUAUACUCGAUGAUGCACGGGCAGAUCGACAAGCGCAACUGGGUGUUUCGCAACCCGCAGUGGUGCGAGCUGUGCAACGAGCCGGUUUCCCGUUGGUUAGAUCAUCAGGGUCGCAAGGACCACGCAUUGUUGGAUCUGCACUACUCGCAGCUGGCCGAGUGGCCGCGUCGAUGGAACCCCGAGGCGGUGCUGUCGACGUUCAUGGAGCACCUCGGAAUCGACAGCGUGGAGCCGUACCACGCUCUCUUCUCCAAGCUGGACAGCGAGGGCCGCACAGAGCUGUAUGCGAUGCUCGUCAAACUGGAAGAGGCUGGUAUGGUGCACUUCGGCAGCAGCCGCGACACCUACCUCAGCCGCAUGGUCGGUGGGAUGCGCGGGUUCGACCAUCAAGGCGCGCUGGUGCUGCACGAGUGCCUGAUGGGCCCCUUUCUGCGACUCUUUCCAAACGGCCUCAUACAAGAUUACUCGAACCUCCUCGACUUUAUUUCCUGCGGCUACAAUAUGGAGACGGUGUACGACAUGUGCGGUAUGUACACGCUGGACAAGGUGGCACUGCGGGAGCGUUACGGACCGAGCUCGCCCGCCGCGAUGGGGCUGGGCGGCGUCGCGACAUGCUCCUCCGCGUCGCGCGGCUACGAAAACGACCUGCUUGCGUCCUUGUCGACGACCUCAUCGUCGUCGUCGUCGUCCGCCGCCUCCGACAGCGCGGCCGACGCUGCGAGCGCCCCAGGUGGCGGCAGCGGUGCCAAGACCCGGCUCGCGCAGCUGCAAGCCGCACGGGCCGCGAAGUUGCAGGAGAAGUCAGAGGAGGAAGCCUUCUCGCGCAAGACGGCAUUCGUGCGUCAGCUCCUCGGGCAGCUGCGGUGGCUGCUGAUGCCAGAGCAGGAGCACCCGGCCGGUUUCACGUUCCCGCCGCACAUCAUCACCCUGGGCGAGCUGUGCCUGAAGGGGCUGGUGGUCGCCAUUAUUGAGGCGCGCCUCUGCGAGUACAUGGUACGCGCCGAGCCUGUCUGGGUUUCCUUCGGCCUCGAGCGGCGGAAGCUCAAGCAGAGCGCGAUCGCGAAUGCCGGCGACGUGGUGCCGCAGCCGGUGCAGUACUCGUACCGCCCCAUGGCCCGCGACCUGCGCGACCUGUAUUCCACCCAACCAAGCGCGCUGGAUGCAAUGGUGCAGGCGGGCCUACUGAAGAAGAAGCUACCAACGCUGAAGGCGUUUGGGAAGCACGAGGCAUCAUCGGCGCAUGCGAAACCAGUGAAAGGAGGGGCGCCAGCGGUGGACAGCUCACGUGAAAGCCCCUCAUCAGCAUCUGCACACCCUGCUGCGAGCAGGCCACUGCAACCGAUCAUUAUUGGCAAGCCACCCCAGCGAAAGGAAGCGCAAGACCAAGAGAUGGUGCGUCGAGGCGGUGAGAGGCGCGGCGCGGCAGAGGCAGGUGGAGGGUAGGGGCGGUGUCACAGCACCGCGAAUACAAUGUCGUCUCCCUCCUCGCGCCCCCCCCCUUCUCCCCCUCUCUCUGCUUACACCGCCUCUCCGAACGAAUGCGUAGCUCGUGUUUCACCGCCGCAUCGUCGACGCUCCGCCUCCCGCUACUCGCCUCCCCUUCUCGCACUGACGGGCGAUGGGCAAUGGUGCUGUUUUGUCCUCUGUCAACUCCCCACGCCGUCCUCCGACACGCACCCGCCGCCCUCCCCCAUUCUCUGGCCCUUGACGUGUCUUCAUGCGCCAGCCAACGACGUGGUCACGGUGCCGGCGUGCAGAGAGGAGGUGGGUGCAUGCAGGUGUGCACGACUAAGCCGCACGCAUCGACGAGCAUGGCAAAGAGAUGGAAGACGUGGGCCGCCGUGAGGGCGUCUGCCGUUCUCCUCCGACGCACGCCCGCCUGCCCUCUUUGCCCAUCUGCGUCUCGCUCCUCCGCCCGUGGCGUGCGCUCCGCGGCCUUCUCCCGUGUGACG
rnacentral:misc_RNA from 1 species